UACGUAGGGCGCAAGCGUUAUCCGGAAUUAUUGGGCGUAAAGAGCUCGUAGGCGGUCUGUCGCGUCGAUCGUGAAAACUUGGGGCUUAACCCUGAGCUUGCGGUCGAUACGGGCAUGACUGGAGUUCGGGAGAGGAAUGUGGAAUUUCAGGUGUAGCGGUGAAAUGCGUAGAUAUCUGGAGGAACACCGGUGGCGAAGGCGGCAUUCUGGACCGAAACUGACGCUGAGGCGCGAAAGCCAGGGGAGCAAACGGG
rnacentral:rRNA from 1 species